UGCUAUUCUAGAGAUAGAAAGUUACUUCGGUACAUCGGUGACAGGUGGUGCAUGGUUGUCGUCAGCUCGUGUCGUGAGAUGUUGGGUUAAGUCCCGCAACGAGCGCAACCCCUAUUGUUAGUUGCCAUCAUUCAGUUGGGCACUCUAGCGAGACUGCGGUAAUAAACCGGAGGAAGGUGGGAGUGACGUCAAAUCAUCAUGCCCCUUAUGACCUGGGCUACACACGUGCUACAAUGGUUGGUACAACGAGUUGCGAGUCGGUGACGGCGAGCUAAUCUCUUAAAGCCAAUCUCAGUUCGGAUUGUAGGCUGCAACUCGCCUACAUGAAGUCGGAAUCGCUAGUAAUCGCGGAUCAGCACGCCGCGGUGAAUACGUUCCCGGGCCUU
rnacentral:rRNA from 1 species